CUCUGUUUUUGGUCGAUAAUUCUUCAGAACUACCUGAAGUGUCUCACAAGACUUUCCAACAUUGAGAACUGAAUCAAUUGAAAGAUAAAGUCAAUCUAUCCUUGCUGUAUUUCUAAGUGAACGUCUUACUUGAUGGAUAAUCUAGCUUAAUCAUUGAAUGAGGAGACCAUUUGAAUGCUAAUGCCUUUAGUGGGUUGGUGAUGCUACUGUCUGGAGGCCCUUUGACCUAGAUACCCUAACAAGAGUGAUUACAAAGUAACAGAUGGAGUCUAAGAGAACAGAGUCAACAGAGUAAAAUAGAGUUUCUACUGGUGAUGUGUAGAAUCUGGUCCUCAGAGUUUGGUGUCCA
rnacentral:lncRNA from 1 species